GAAUGAAAGAUGAAAGUGGAGAACGUGGGUCGACGUGGCAGAUCGAGGAGCGUCCAGAUGAUCAAGAAGCAGUUACCACUUCGUUGUAGUAUUUAUAGCAGUUUUUCAUUCAGAACAAAGGUCACAAAAUUUUAUACAAACACUCUCUCUAAAAUUCUAAGUACUCAGCGAUCGAACGAAAGGAAUUCAGAGGAGAAAUGUAUGUUUUGUAAACCAUCUUUAUUUGUAAUUGCUUUUCAUUCAAUGCAAUUUACUUUCCAGCAAUUU
rnacentral:lncRNA from 1 species